ensembl:lncRNA
AAUAUGAAGGUUUGUGUGCGGUGAAGACGUGCAGUACGAUAGACAGCCUCGGGGAAUAGUGUGUAUCGCAUGACGGAGUGGAGGCUGCAAUUAGAGCAUCUACCGAUGUUGAUUUUGAAACAUAGCCCAAAAAGCUGGCAGGAAAAUAUUACUGAAAGGAAAUUCCUCUGAAACUUGUGUCCUUGAACUGUGCUUGUUGUGGGUCACGGGGAACCUGGAGCCUAUCCCAGGGAGCAUCGGGCACAAGGCGGGGUACACCCUGGACAGGGUGCCAAUCCAUAGCAGGGGGUAUAAAUAUGAGGCUACACAUAAGCCAAAUUCCCCUAGUCAUUCACAACAAUGAUUAAGACCAAGGAAUAUAGCUGUGAUGUGCAGCAAAAGGUUGUUGAGCUUCACAAAAUGGGAAGUGGCUUUAAGAAAAUAGCACAAGCAUUGAAAAUGCCCAUUUCCACCAUGAGGGCAAUAAUUAAGACGUUUCAGUCAACUGGAAAUGUUAUCAAUCAACCUGGAAGAGGACGUGUGUCUAUAUCGUCUCAACGCACUGUGAAGAGGAUUGUUUGAGUGGCCAAAAAAUCUCUAAGGAUCACAGAUGGAGAAUUGCGAAUUGGAUCAGAAAGUCCCCAAAACUACAAUCUGAAGUCACCUACAUCACCACAAGCUGUUUGGAAGGAUUUCAAGAAAAAAGCCUCUACUCUCAUCCAAAAACAAACUCAAGCAUCUUCAGUUUCCCAGAAACUACUGGAACUUCAAAUGGGAUCGGGUUCUAUGGUCAGAUGAAACCAAAAUAGAGCUUUUUGGUAAUAAACACAGAGGUGGUUUUUGGCGAACACAGAGAGGUAGCCAUAUGGAAAAGUACCUCAUGCCCACGGUUAAAUAUGGUGGAGGCUGUUUUGUGGCUGUUUUUCUGCCAGAGGACCUGGACAUUUUGUUAGGACACAUGGCAUCAUGGACUCUAUCAAAUAUCAACAGAUAUUAAAUGAAAUCCUGACUGUCCAAUGCAGAUUUGUGAUUUGUGUAUAUCACUUUCAUCCAAUCAUCCACACUCCAUGAUUGCUUCCCUUUAGCCCAGUGUAACCUUGUUUUCUUCUGUUUAGGUAUUAGUGCUGGUUUUCAUUUGGCUUUUCUCUAUAUAAAUCCCAUUUCAUACAGCCAAUUUCUUACAGUUCUGUCACAAAGAUUGACUCCUGUUUCCACCCAUUUGUUUUUCAUUUGUUUAGUUGUGCAUUUUCUAUUUUUGAGUCAUAUUGCUUUGACUUUUCUAUCCUGACGUUUGCCAUCUUGCUUGGUAUACCUGUAUGUUUUCCUUUUAUAACCUUCCCAUUUUGUUUAUACUUGCACCAAAUUUUUGACACAGCUGACUGGGACCAACCAACAUCUUUUUCCAUACUCUGUGUUGGAUUUACACAGAGUUUUAUAAUCCUUUCCAUUGUUUCAAUUGACAACCCUGUUGUUGCAGCUAUGUUUCCUUUCAGAAAGUCCAAGGUUAAGCUCUGCAAGUGCUCUCUUUUAACUGCAGACUUAUUAGCAUUUUUUGACAUGUGCUGGUAUUUGUUUCAGAAAUGGAAAUUACAAGGUGAUUCCAUGUUUUGUUUCUCAACAUAGAGUGAUUCCAUAUUUUUUAUCUCUGAAAAAACAAUAUGCCAUUAAUUAAAAUAAUUCAGGUUCAUUUGUUUGAGGUAUGUUUCACAAAGCCAGAAUGUUCACCUAUUAAACAAUGACAC